rnacentral:rRNA from 1 species
UACGUAGGGACCGAGCGUUGUCCGGAAUCAUUGGGCGUAAAGAGCGUGUAGGCGGCCACUUAAGUCCUGCGUGAAAUCCUGCGGCUCAACCGCAGGCGGUCGUGGGAAACUGGGAGGCUAGAGUAUCGGAGAGGUUGGUGGAAUUCUCGGUGUAGAGGUGAAAUUCGUAGAUAUCGAGAGGAACACCGGUGGCGAAGGCGGCCAACUGGACGAAUACUGACGCUGAGACUCGAAAGCGUGGGGAGCAAACAGG